CACAUAUAACCCCAAAAUAAAGGGACUGUGGGCUCAGCUCAGCUUGUGAGGGUCUUGCCAGCAGCUUAGUCUCAUGCAAUAGGAUGGAGGUACUAACAGCCGUGUGUUCUAGGUGCAGAGGGAGCGCUCAAGAAGGCCCAAGCUAUCAGAUCAGCAAACUGAAGCUCAGAGGUCAAACUGCUCAAAUGGCACCGAAAUCCGAAGGAGCCUGAGGUCUUCGUGUGACACUACUCACGUGGAGAAUGGGGACCAGCAGAAGACUGGGGGACAGAGAAGCGGCUGGGAGAAGAGACCUUACCUUCAG